rnacentral:lncRNA from 1 species
CUAGUAAAAUCUGUCGCCAGAUAGACAAGCUUAUGAAAUGUAAGGCAUUACCAACGUUCCUGAAAAACUCAGUUAUGACGGCACCUGCAUGCCCGCAGCUGUUUGGGUAUGCUAAAAUCCACAAAAAACUGGUGGAGAUUAGACCACUAGUUGAGAAAUUUAGGUCACCUUUAUAUAUUAUAGAGAGAAAACUAGCCAAGUGGUGUUGGUCAAGGUUAAAGGGAUAUGAUUACUCAGUUGAGCUGCACCGAGGAGGUACUUGAUAAGCUCUUAGAAAAAGGCCUGUUCCCGGAGGAAACAUUAAUGAUGUUUGACUUUGUCCCUUUAUCCCUCGAUCCGGAUAGAACCAGCUUGUAUUGGGCUUUAUCACCUGCUUUGUAAUGGCC